rnacentral:sRNA from 20 species
GUCAACCACUCCCCCUAAAGCCCUAACGGGUUAUAGGCGGAGCUUGCGGGUAAAACCAAAGGCUCCUGGUUGACCAGGCUCAGUCCCAGAAUACCGGGACUACGUUAUUGGGGUCAGGACACCCUGGAAUGCGCGCCAGUUCCAGGCUCUGUC